rnacentral:rRNA from 1 species
GACGGAGGGGGCAAGCGUUGUCCGGAAUUACUGGGCGUAAAGCGCAUGUAGGCGGUCGCGUACGGCGGUGGUGAAAGCUCCCGGCUCAACUGGGAGAGGUCCGUCGCAACGGCGUGACUCGAGGGUGGUAGAGGCAGAUGGAAUUCCUGGUGUAGCGGUGAAAUGCGUAGAGAUCAGGAGGAACACCCGUGGCGAAGGCGGUCUGCUGGGCCACACCUGACGCUGAGAUGCGAUAGCCAGGGGAG